UACGUAGGGUGCAAGCGUUGUCCGGAAUUAUUGGGCGUAAAGAGCGUGUAGGCGGCCCGAUUAGUCCGCUGUGAAAGCCCACGGCUCAACCGUGGAGGGUCAUUGGAAACUGGGGAACUUGAGUGCAGGAGAGAAGAGUGGAAUUCCACGUGUAGCGGUGAAAUGCGUAGAGAUGUGGAGGAACACCAGUGGCGAAGGCGACUCUUUGGCCUGUAACUGACACUGAGGCGCGAAAGCGUGGGGAGCAAACAGG
rnacentral:rRNA from 1 species